AAUGGAGGAUGCUCGCGCUGUUCCGCCCUCCUCGACGUCGCUCUUCGCAGUUUCAGCGCUGCUUGGGUCAUGUGGGGGCGUGGGACAGAGGCUAGACCUAGACGUCCUACUACCUCUCGGCUCCUCCUGGGAGGCGAGUUGUUCCUGGUGGCAAGCGGGCGGAGGCUCCGCGUGCUCGACGGCUGCAUAUCUGCGCGUUGUACAGACCCAAGUUGAUGUCGCGGAUGAGCCAUCGAGUCCGCCUGAGGGCGCAAGCGCUGGCGGUCCAAGCCUGCUGGCGCGGGGAUAGAGGUGCGGGUUGCGCGCCGCAUGCCUACAUGAGUGCGCACGGGACAUGCGGUGGCCGGCCGGCGCUAUGGUCCAAACGUUGGGCCAAGCCUGCUGGACGCAUGCCCGGACCCUGCUAGCGAAACGUCGGCAGCGUCCGCAGUCUUGCCGAUGAGAUCGCGGACAACACCACGAGGGCGCCUGCCGGACCUGCAGAUUCUCACAUAGUCAAGGCCCUGAGCCACCAUGCCCUGCCCCUCGGUGACUUCAUCCACGACCACUCCAGCAACAGUCUUCUUCGAGCCUGCUACCACGGAUUGGUUGCUCAGUCCAGAGCUUUUCUCCCAACUUCUGUACAUCAGGCAGACGUGUUUGUUCAGAUUUUCCUUCAUUGCGAUUUGUGCACACAACCUGUUUGUUGAAAUGACUACCUGCUAAUCCUCUCAUGCACAUGGAAAAUACUUCUCCAGGUUAGAUUGGAGGGUUAAUCAUUUCAUUCAAGGAGUUCUUUGUUGUUCAUGAGGUGCUUUUCCACUCGCCAAUCCUCUCUGUUGAACCAGCAUGUCUUCUUUGUCACAGAGAUCGGCCGCCCCAAAACAAGAUUGUUUUGUUGACAUCUUCGGAGAUAGAGUGCAGUUGAUUUUGUUGAUUGCAUAUUUGCGUCAGAUUGUUCAAGCGUUUUAACUAGGCAUGCUUGGAUUUGCAGUGUUGGAAGACAUGUAUAUGGUAUCGCACCUAUUGCCAUUCACAUCAAUUCCUUGCCUCGAUCUAGAGGGAAGAUGAGCCAUGGCCUUCUGCUUUCAUCGAGCAUGCACAUUGCCUACUCUGGUGUUGAUUAUCGCCAAGGCGCUGCACGAUGUCUUUGAAGUAUUAGAAGUUGGCAUUGAAGAAAUAUUGGCCGAGAAUUCUGGAUUUCGGUUGCCUUUUGCUACUGAUACUUAUUCAUCGGUUCCUUCAGUUGUUCCACCUGUUAUAUUCAUGGUCUGUUUAGUUCUCAAGUACAUGCUACUUUCGAACCAUCAGCUGAUCAUGCGCCUUACGGUUUGUAUAUUUUCUUUACUAUUAUUUUUACCUUUAAAUCUACACGUUAUGCUUAUAUGGGGUUUUCUCAUUUUUGUUGUUGCUGGCAAGAGACCACUCUACCUCUGAACUAUUGCUGCAGCAAACCCAGUUGAAAGUAACACUGCCACUUACAUCUACAAUUUACCUUUAAAUCUACAUGUUAUGCUUAUAUGGGGUUUUCUCAUUUUUUUAGUUGCUGGCAAGAGACCACUCUACCUCUGAACUAUUCUUGCAGCAAACCCAAUUAAAGGUUUCAUGUAGGCACUUAACACUUGAUGUGGCUGAGGAAGGUUGAAGGGCUACAAAAGAAAAAGGUAGGUAUAGUGGAGCACUAAUCCUGGAGAGAGUUUGGAUUUGUUUUGGCCAACCUUAGGAAAGUGUCCGGAUUGCAGUGAUAACAAGGAAAAAACUGAAGGCCAUCUAAUACAAUACCUCAAAGAGUAGCACCUAUAAAAACAAGAAGGCAUCCAAGUAGAAAGCUUCACGCUACCAGCAAAUUGAACAACGAAGUAUCAUCUGCAGCAACAAACGAGGUUAGCCGAAGAAGUGAAAAAGUAUCCAGACUGGUGACCUAUAUCAAAAUAUCUAUUAUGUCAAUGCCAGCCACCAAAAUUACAUGGCAAAUGUUAUUUGCCUACCUGUCACUAUAGGAAGUAUGAACACUGCUGACUUCGAUAAAAUUAUCUAUAAACACCACCAGUGUAUUGGUAGUAUUAAGCACUUGAGUACCCCUGUGUAAUUACUCCAACUGCCUGCCUUCGU